UGUAAAAUUACAAAUUAUAUUAUUGGUCAUAAAAUUAAGAAGUCCCUUGAAAAAUACCAUUACAAUAUUUAACUCUUUGACCUCUGUAGGUUAACAAAUAUUCACACUGUGAAAAAACUGAUUUCAUGCUUAUUUUUUAACUAAUGCAGUAAGUUUCUUAAAAUCAUUUCAGCUAAUGAUGGAAAUACAUUCUGUGCAAUGCCUAUAAAAUAUACCCCUAAUUUACUGAUGUCCUGAAGCCUUGAAAAAUAUCCAGCAUUAUUCAAAAAAGUUACAUAAACCAGCUACUUAGUUAUCUAAGUACUACAGCAAAGCUGAAGUGAGUUUGUUGGGACAAACCAUGAGUUGAUAGGUUUUGACCUAAUUAAUGUUAAAUUAGCUUGUUUUUAAAAUGGGGUUAUGCCCACAUAAGACAAAUUUCUUUUUCUUUUUGCCCUUCUUUUAUUUCUAGUGCUUGUGUUUCAGGCAUUGAAAGCAGUCUCUCUCACCCAGCUCUGCUAAGCUGCUGUGCCCACAUGCCACCCUUCCCUGCAGUACCUGGGCAGGCUUCUCACCAAGUCCAUCUACAAUAGCAAUUAUGCCAGCACUGAUUUUGGAAUACAAAUAAAUGCCCAUUGAAUACUGCAUUGAGACAGUCAAACCAUCACUGACAUUAGGUGUUUCUUUUUUUUUUUUUUUUCCCAAAGCCUUAACACUUUGAAUCACAACACUUUCCUGAAAAUUGUUUAAUAAGCUUCUUUUACCAAAAUAGAAAACAUGAGGAGAGAAGGAAUAACACAUCUUUAAUUAGAAAAAUUCAAAUCAGCUCUUAAUUUAAUUCACUAUACCAGCAGCCAUGAUUAGGUCUGCAUCAUGAUAUAUCUCCAAUACUAUCAAUUUUCAUAAAUGCAAAGUUUCCUGAAUAUGGUUCUGAUGUAUCCUGACAUUUUAAAAUAUGUCCUAUUGUCCUUUCCUGUGCAGCAGACCAAGCACAGAGUGUUCAGUCCUAUAUCACUGUCACAGUGGUAUUAGACCAGAUGGCUGCUUCCUUGCAGAAUCAAGAAUUAGAGAUAAUUUAUGCUGUUCACUGUUAUUAGAAUGUAAAAAUAUAAAGAGUUUGCAGCAUGCAUACAUGAAAAGCUGCUCAGAUCCAUCAGUGACAUCCUGGUGCAAAGCACUUAGCCUGUUACUGCACUCUUAAAGGUAAAGUCUUUGGUGAAGCCAUGGACUUGUGCAAAGCUACGGACUGCUCUGCAUAGGACACAACACAGGGACUAGCUGACCUUUGUUACACUGCUGCUUUGGUGGGGAAAGAAUAUUCUAAGUUGGGAAAAAUGUCCAAAAGCUGCCUUCUUUCUUCUUUCUUGUAAAAUAAUUCCACCACAUCACCGUUCCCAUUAACAUGUGACAGUUAUUUUUGUGUCACGAAGAAUGAAGUUAAAAAUGAAAGCUUUCUUCAUUCAGUCUGUUAAUCAGUACAGGAGAAUACUUCUCAGUAAGACCUCAUACCAAAGGGCAUGAGAGUUGCAUAAAUUUCCUCCCGUGCCAGUGAGGGAAGCAAGUUUUCCUUAUCAGGGCAUCAUUGCAACCUGUGUCUCUGCUCUACCUGUAUGUAUGUAUGUAUGCACCACAGUGUGUCAAAAUACUGAAAAGAAAGGGUGUCAGCCUGCCCAUUUAUUGAUCUGAGCUCAUCAUAGGUAAGAAUCUUGUUUGUAUUUCAAACAGCUGAAUCAUUUGAUAAAGAUAUGUUAUUAAUGCAGCUAAUUCAUUUGGAGGGACUUCUCAACCUAUGCAGGAAUUAAAAUGUCUCAGGUUCCUAAAAAAGGGGGGAGAAAUGAAGGGACAGAGAACUUAAUAAGCUUGCCCAGGUUGCUGCAAUAAAUUGCAUGAGAACAGAAGUAAAAAGGAUGUAAGGACAACCAAAUGUCAAACAUUGUUUGCAAGUAGCAAUAGUUUGUUGCUUUACCUUUCCAUCUCGGAAGUUUAGCACAGUAGUCCCUACAAAUGAUGUCAGAGCUGUAGCCAGACUAAGAACAAACAUUUUCAUCAGUAUUUAGGAGAAAUUUUACUGGCAUUCACUGAAAUGACACAAUCAUUCUGUGUGAUUUUGGAAAAAGUGUAUCACUGAGAGAAUUAUUUGGUUCAGUUUAAAUUAAUCUUUAAAGUAUACUAAGGAACAUUACUAGGGACAGAUUUGUUUCAGCUCUCUGUGAGCAUAUAAUUUGUAUUUAUGGCAUACAGUGGAAGUAUUGUGACUUUGAAUGACUGACUAACACCUUAUGAAAGUCAUUACUUUUGUAUCAAGAACAAUAUUUGUAACAUAAUGUGUUCUUAAACUGAUCAGGACAGCAGGAAGCAGCUAAGUGGAUCACUUAUCUUUAUUUUGCAAUUUAACCUAUGUUAUGACAGGGAACAAAAAAAUUAGAUAAUUUAUAAUUUUCUGUCAGUGAUGCAUAUUUGGGGCUGAGAUUGUAACUACUUGGUAUAACUGAAGAGUAAGGAGAUUUGGCUGCCAAAUAAAACAGUACAAGAAAGGUAACUUUAGAAUACAGUGAAUUACUAGCUGACUGUUAGAACCAGAUCACAAAGAUUUCUUGCAUUUUUGUUUCUUGACCAGUGCUGUAGAUGAUGGAAUUUUACCCUGUAAAAAUCCUAGAACUAGUUUUAUUAAAAUAAAGUCUAUCAGAAUAGAAGAUAGUUGUUAUGCAGGAGCAGUAACUCACAUAAUAUGAGAUGGCAUUUCUUUCCAGCUCUUGCUGCUCCGCUGGUUCUAAUAGCAACCUGGAGCUCAAUUUCCUCCUCAAGAACAUUGCAUUUCAUGUGGAAUGUCAAUUAUUAAAAUGCAGUGUCCCGUGUCUUACUUUUCACUAGAUGAAUUCAUUUGCAAAUUUGCUAAUUUAUGUAAAUGAUCCUUAACCUGUAACUGCCUGGCAUGUAUUUCUGAAUGCCUCUUUUCAAUUCAGAAAUACAUACAAAGAGUCUCAACAGCACAUUAAUUAUUUUGUGUCACUGUUCCAAACCCCAAAGAUUUAAUUUCAGAGUAACCCUGAAAGAGUAUCUGAGGCUUCUUUCCAUUUUGCAUUUUCACUAUCAUUAGACACUCAAAACAGGUAAAUGAUCUUUAAAGGAGUAUCUCUAGCCAUUAUCAUUGGUGCUAAGUACAGUUUUAGUACAAUAUUUUUGAGAAGCUAUGACCUGAAACUCUGAGUUUUUAAUUUGAUUUUCAGUUUUCAAUUUUUCUCAGGAGGUCAUUGUUACUUACAAGGGGCCCAAUCACAAAUCCCAAGAUCAUUCCUAAAUUUCAAAUUUUUUGCAGCUCAGUCUCUCCUCUGCAUUUUAGAAGUUAAAAGACAGAUGGGGAAUUUCCUUCAAGCAGUCAGUGUUUCAGCUGCAACUCUGAUCUGCACAUGGAUGCCAUUUUAGAUUGGGCACUUCAUUUCUGGUUCCACCAGAAGCACAAUCUCUGUGAACCCAUAACAGUUUAUUUCACUCUCCAAAUGAUUUCAGGAAACUCAAACUCAUCCUAUCUGUCCUCAGCUCCUAUGAAAAAAGUGAUAUUAAGAAAAACCCAGCUGAAGAUGUAAAUUUUUGCCUGAUUUAUCUCUGCUGCCCACCCAAACCUCUCCAAUGUUCUCAGGGACCAACAACAGUUUAGAACCUGUCAAUGAACCUGGUCCCAGUUGGGGAUUUUAACAAAACCUAAAAUGAAGCAAUUUCCUUCCAUGUUGUUACUGUUCUGUAACUUCCCACAGUCCAAAUAAUAGGAUUCAGAUUCCCUGUGGUGUAAUUGCAGUCACAACUCCAUUGAUUUCAGUGACCUGUGAAUGGCAGGUAGGACUAUGGCCCAAGGCCUCCUCUUGACAAACCAGCUAGAGCUCGCUUUCUCUUGACUAUUAUCUGAUUUACAUGUCCUUGUUUCAGAUGCCCGCCACACGGGGUAGGUGAACAAAGCUCUGUUUCAGAGCCAGCUACAGAGAUCUUUCCCAGCCAGCGCGGACGUCCCACGAGCAGGACUCGGCUGUGAGCCUGAGCUGCAGGGCACGAGUCCUUCCCUGUGCUCCUGACUGGCCAGCCCUGCCUGGGGCCCUUGCAGGCACUGUUGCUGUCUGUAACUGAGCUGAGGUUUUGUUCCCCCAGGGUGUGAGGGAGGGAGAGAGGGACGAGGUGCCUCCAGCUGAGAGGCCAACACGCCAGCGCGCCAACCCCAGCUUGCUCCUCCGGAGCUGGAGCGCUCUUGUGUCUGAGUGUUUACGUUGGCUUUAGGAGCUGCAAAGCCAAGAAAUGUUUGGCUGCUUUGUCUCUGUUUCAGCAUUCGGAUUGCUAAGACAAAAUCUCAAACGGCCACUUGCUGUGUGUUCUGCAGACAUUUUAGCACAAAAUCAGCAUCUCCAGAAUCACAGAUUCCUCCCACAGCGCCCUGAGGUCUUGGGUGUUCGAUUCGAUUUCUGCUGGGACAGCAGCAGGGAAGAUUAGCUAACACAGUUGUAAUUUUGGAAUUAAAACAUCUUUCCCUCUAUUUUAUUGCUGUUACCUGCAAAAAUGUCUAUAUCUGAAAUUCAAAGUAGCCUUUAAUCUGCUGCUUAGUUUUCUCCACAAAGGAUAUACUUUACAGGAUAAUGUCUCUUUAAAUCUACCCCGAAGAUAUUCCUCCUGGCCCAGAAGAUGCCAAAAUGACUUGAUGAUUUAUUUAUGUGGAGCUUGGCAGACCAUAGUCCAGAUUGUGGCUGAGGCUGAAUUUUAUGAGCAUCCCCCCUAGUGAGUAUAUUUAAAAAUUAAAAAAAAAAAAAAGAAAAAGAGGUCUUCACAGAUCUUGGCAUAAGAACCAAGCAAAUAUUAUCAGAGAGAAGAAUGGCUAGGAGGUGAGUUUUAGGACAGAAUAUAAAUAUUAAUUUUUAAAAAAAGUGUUUAGAGAAUUAGAAUUUUCUCUUCAUCUUCAAAAAAUUAGAAAUAUGAAGUGGGCAUUUCUCAUUUCAGUAGAAUCAAGUGUUUGGUCUUUAAUUUUUUUAGCCAUAUACUUGGCAUUUUGUUCUGGGAACUGGCUUUUUUUUUUUUUUUUGCACAGAAAGAUGGAUGUCUCAUUGUCAUUCCAGACCAUACAAGCAGCAUGUUGGUGCAAUGAUGUAAGAAAGCAAUUUUCUGCCCUAUUUUAUUGAUUUAUAGUAUUUUAGUAAAGUGAUAAAAACUUAAUGCUAGGGAUAAAAAGGAGUCUCAUCUGAUGUAGAGGCAGUAGAAGAGAAUAGAGAAUGAGGAAGAGACUGCAUUAAUACAUAUUUGCCAUGUUUUCUCAGGCCUCUCCUGUACAAGAUCAACUAAGUUAUAAAAACUGUGUCUAACUUUUUGACUAAGAUAUUGUCCAGACAUUGAUCCCUUCUUUCAAGGCACAGGUUGGUGCAGGAUUCUGGCUCCUGGAAGCAUACGCAUGCACAAGCACAGGAAAAUCCUGAAGGCCACAGCAGCCAGGACAACUGUCAAUAGUCCUGACUCUUUUGAACAGGGACCCUGAGUGCUGCAGAAACAGAUUUGGGGGCACUUUUGCAAUAGACAAGAAUUGCAUUUAAUUUAAUUUCAUCUGCUUCUCUGCAGUUCCUUGGGCAGCUUGUCCAAGGGGUGGUACAAAACUCUGGGCUAACAGAGUUCACAUUUUUGCUUGCUGCAGAGGAACUCCUGAAGCGGACAAGUCCAGAGGCAGAAACUCCUAAAUCCUUAGACUUUUCAAGCCCAUAAAGGGCCCCAGAUACCAUUCCAGAGUAUCAGAAAGAUGAACAAAUGAACAAUGAUACCAGAUCAGUACUGGGUUUCUUAUGUUGGCACAGAUUUGUGGCUGACAAGCUGUGACUCCAUGGAAGCGAUGGUAACAGGCUGAGAUGUUACUUUCAAUAUCAUACCAGAGACUGAAAUAAACAGGCAGUGCUGGCAGGUCUGGCUGCACAGCACUCCAGGGGCCUAUGAAUGCAAAAAUGUGCAGUGGGAGCUGAGCAGAAAUUAGCUCAGAGCAGAAGUCACAGGCACCAGGAAACCAGCUCAGAGGGAACCUCUGCAGGAAUGUGAUGCUUUCCAAUUCCACUGUCCAGUGAAUCCCAGGAAAGUUUUCUCCUAGUUUGAUUGCAGAGAUGGGGUCUCACUCUCCAUAAACCAGCACAAAUUCCUCAAGGUUUAAAGCAGAUAUAUCAGAUUAAGGGAGGAAAUCUACUACAGUGAAUCAAAUCAAAGCAAUAUUUUACUCUUAUCUCUAGAUGAAAUUUCUCUUGGUUUUGUAAAAUUCCUGCUCCAUUUGAAAUUAUGAUCCUUUUAAGUUUACAUUUAUCAUAACAGGAUUCAGACUGUUCAAGGUGCUGAUGAGAGCAACAUUCAGCCUGUGGUGCUGUGAUUUUUUUAAUAGGGAAGUAAUUUAGAGCUUUCUUCAGACUUCACUGUUUUUGCUCUCUCUCUCUCUGUAAUUACUCUCCUUUCACCUCUCACAUAUAAAGCUAUCCAGGGGAGCUAAAAAUGCUACUGAACUUGCAUAGAGGAAAAAUUUGUGAGACUGUAAGGUGAAUAUUCCUGACAGAAAGAUCUAUGGGCUGUGAAAUAGUGUCUCUAAAGAAAUUGUGAAAGCUCCAUUCCCCUGAGACGUUUAAAAUUAGAAGAAACAAAGCACUAUUACACACUAAGGAUAUAAUCCUGUUCUAGCCCCCUGUGAGCAGACUAACUGUUUCUAAUGUUUGAAACUCUGUAUAGUGGUACUGUUCAUAAUGCAAACCUACAAUUUAAUAAUGUUAAGGGUUUGACUUGAGGCUUGCUUAUGCAAGAAAAUGUACUCAGAUUACUAGAGUGGUAUAAUUAUAUCACCACAGUUCUAUCAGUAUAUCUCAGUGCUGCCUCUCUAACAAGUGCCUUAUUUGAGUUACUGUACACCAUUUCUAAAAGCCACAGAAGUACAAUAACAUGAGUAAAUUUUCUACACUAAGAUCACCUUCCCAGCUGCUGGGAAGGUGGGAAUCUUAUAAUUAUUAAGUUCUAGUUGAAGAAGAAAUGCACAAAUAAAGGCAUGAUGCACCAAACUCACAAUGAAGUUUAUUGUACGCACCACAGAAGAUGGAUAUUGAUGGCAAAAAGAAAGUAUCACUUAAAAUUCAGAACAGCAGCCUCACUUGCAAAAUGUAAGCAAAACUACAGUGUGUUCAAAGCAUGGACAAACUCACUCUCUAUUUUUUGCUUAUGUCUAAACAAUCUUAAAACAGAGCUGCUUCUAAACUACUCUUCAACCCUUUGAAUUUUUUGCUAUUAUUAUUGUAAGUUAGUAUCAAAAGACAGAAAGUGAUGGGGAAAGGUUUAUGUGAUUUUCUCUGAAGUAAAUGAGUUAUUUUACGAGAGUCCUUACUCUGAGAGUACAUCUACUGCAUAAAAUCAUGCAAAACUUCUGGUCCAUAAUUUGAAGCUACACACAACAGCAUUUUGAGAAGACGACUUGGGAGUUUGAAUAGUUCUAGGGAAUUUACCACAGCCACUAUUGAGAUGAAGCGGGGUCUUGAAAUAUUUUCAUAAUUCAAGUAAAAUUGUGGUGCCAACUUUGAGUUUUGGGUAUCAGCAUAAGCAAAUUUUCAAGACUAACAAAGGGUUAUAAAAUAUAUGCAAUGACAGGUCAUUAGACAGAGGGGUGCAGUUGGGCAAUUCUCUGUACAGUACACUGCCAAAUAGUGCCUUUCAACCAUCAGUUAUUCUAGAACUCUGCUUGUCUUGCAAGCUCUGUAUUUCACCAGGUGACAGUCUUAAUGGAUCUGGAAUGGGGGUGGAAUAGGAACUGUUCUUUAACUAAGAAAGAAAGGAAGAGAUGAAGAAAAUAAAUGUGGGGAAGGGAAAAUAAAAAGAAAGGAAGAGAAAGAUGCUUAGACUGCACAGCUACUCACCCUGGUCAGCUGCACAGCUUUGCAAAUCCUUCCUUCCAAACACACACAGCCCCAGCUCAGAGAGGAGCCUCAUAUGCCAGACUUUCUGUUGUGUAGCUUCAGUCUACGAAACUUAUUUCGUAAGUGGCAGUGACCUCUGCUCAGCAUUGGUACAGCUACAGAAAUCAUGAAAGAACAAGAGUAAGGCCUCCCAGAAGGAGAGCAUGGGUGAAGAUGGGUCUUCCAUAAUGAGCUGCUCUAAUACUGGCUGUGUGCUGAUUUGAUUAAGGACUCCAGCUGAAGAAGAGGGCCAAAUUCCCCUCGGUCUAAAUUAUGGGAGCUUCAAUACACACAGUGGAACUCUGCCAGCUUACAACUAUUAGGGAUCUCAUCCUCAGGGCUUUUCUCACAGCAGCAGUGUCCCAACUCACUGAAGGCUAAGGAGGGGAUCCAGGUGCAUAUAGGAUCCUGUUGCCAUUGCAGGUAUCCAAGGUCAGAGCUUAGAUCCUCAGUUACCCACACCCACCCACAGUAUCCCAGCCAUCAGUCUCAGGGCACCUAAGCUUUCAGGCUUUCCUGUGCCUAAAGUUAGGCACUAUGUGUUCAUAUCAUGUUGAUAUGCUCAGCACAUUAAAACCCUUCCUGUGCCAAAGCCCCACAGUGCCUCCAGCACCAGGACUACCCCAGGCUCCUGCAGCUUCAUCAAGCAUCCAGGGAACAUCAUGUGCAUGCAGCUGAGGCUGUACAAGCAGGAGGAGCAGGUGAUGGGAACAGCUCUGUCACGCCCACCCUGAGGCUGGCACACACAUCCAGCACUAAAUGCCUUUGUGGCGUUGAUUUUCAUUUUUUUCAUCUGCUUAGGUAAUGCAACCUGCUCGGCAUUUGAGGGCUGAGCUGCACUGCCAGGACAAGUCUGAGCCUGUUCAGCUUUUUCUGCUUCCUGAACAGUGAACAGCAGUCAGCUGUGCAUGCAGUGCCAAAUUGAGCCUGGCACGAAGACUCUGUGGGUCACUUUACAUUUUGUGUGGGCCUGUGAGAUUCAACUGAUUAGUGGCAGUUGAUGACAGUGAACACAAAAGGAAGUAAUGAUAACUGCAGAUAAUUCCUGUAGAAAUUAAUGCAACUAUUCAAAGAAUUUUUUCAGUCAUUUUUCAUUCACACCUUCUUGCCUGGUGCAGUUCUGCUAUGAAUGUGAUUUUUAAAUUUAUAUGAUUCAUUUUUGUAUGAUUUAAAUGUGGUGUAGUUGACUCAGUGAAAACAUUGUUCUGAAAAUGUUCUUUGCCAAAAGACUAAGCUCUAAAAUGAGUUUAUUGCUAAAUAAACAUCCCAAGUUGGCUUAAGCAGCAUAUUAACGGACUUGCAAAUCAGGGUUUUUUUGCAGGAGGUGAGUAUUAAUCAUGAUGGAAUAAUGUAAAUAAAUGAAAUAUCAAUACAAAUAAUUUCUACGCAUUCAUAGGAACAGUAAUCAGUGUUACAAAGAAUGGGCUAACUUUUAGUUAUGUUACUGAAACUAGAAUCCCUUCACUGUGGUACUGGUGUUUAAAAUGUAUCCUUUAGGGAACUUCACAUCUAUAAGAUUUGAAUCCACAACAUGCAAGAUAAUAGAAAUAGCUAGAAGGAAAACAGAGGCAAAUGGGCCUUGGAUUGCCCUGCUCUCUGAAUAGAAGAAAGAACUGAACAUACUCUUCUUUAUUUGGACUCACAGUGCAUUAAAGGAGAGCACUCCUUUGAAAAUAUGUUUACGUAUUUCUUACAAAUCAUGAUUAACCUAUAGAAAUGCAAUGUGACAAUAUGGCAAAAGGAAAUAAAUGUGUAUUGGUUGCUUUCUGCAUGAUUAAUGCUUCUUUCCAUCAGACACAUACAUUUCAUUUUAUUAAAGAUCACAUUUCUGAUUGCAAGAACUUGAUCAUAAAUAAAGCAUGCAAGUGGAAGUUGGAAAUCUUUUAAUAUUAAUGACAAGAAAAAUGGAUUUAUUGAAUAGUCACCUGCAGUUCAUACAUACAUAAGCACAUAAAAUGAUAACCCAGCAGAGGUACCAUCUCCAACUUGGGAGGAGAGAUUCUGGUUUUUUUAACAGCUUAAUAAUAAUAGUGCUACAUUUAGAGAAAAUUAUUUCUGUCUUCUGUGUCUAAGAAGAACAGAAUAACAGCCAUUUAUCAGCUACUUUCUACCUUGUCAUUUCUCCUAGGAACUAUAAAGUUUGUCUUUACUUGUUUACAACUCAAUCCAGCACUGGUGGUCUUCAAUGUAAUAGUUUUGAACUCGGUUUUUUUGCCAACUUGGAAUUUGGAAAAAAAACCCCAACAAUGCCCCCCCCCCCCCCCCACCCAGAAAAAGAAAAGACCCAACCAAGAAAAGAAAAAAGGAGUUUCUGAUGAAUAAGGAAGAGAUUAAGCUAUUCAAAUGGGAUUUUUUUUGUCCAAGGAGCUGACAGAUGAGAAAUCUAGUGCAUUAUUGAGAACAUUAUAACUCUGCUAAAAAAUUAUCAUGUCAAUAACCAAAAAUAAUUGAAACAGGGGUAAUAGCUUUCACAUCAGAUAGUACAGUGUUGAUGAGGCUGCACAGGAAUUGUAAACAUGAAUACAGCUUCCAGAAAAACUUCUAAGGAAACUUCUAGAGCAGUAUGACUGGUUAGGAUGUAAAGCAACUAGAAAUCUGCUCUCUAAGCCAGCAGGCUGCAGAAAUAAUGUGGUUGCACUGUGGAAAGGACCAUCAGAAAAGCUCUGUGAAUCGACCAGUAGUUUUCCUAUCACCCCUACCAGGCUGCCUGCCUGCUUAGCCCACAUGGAAAGGAGCAUCUGAGGACAAGUAAUCUGCAGCUCUGUCCCCUCUAUGUCACAGCCAGGGCUGAUUCACACAUCCUGGAGCCACUGCUACCUCACUGGAAUUUAGUCCACCAAAGCUGCUCCCCGUGCCCCAGCUCUGCUGGGCAGCACCCUUCCUUCCAGUCACCCCCAGCACAGCAGCUGCUGGGAGUAUCUCUCACCUGGUUGGUGUGUAAGAGAACUGGGUUGUUGCAGGUAACUCCAUUACUCCUGGCACACCAAGGUAUACAAAGAGAGGAAAGAGCUGGGAGAUGCACGGGGGUAAGCAGCACAUAGAAAAAACUUGAGCAAGCUUUGGGCUCAGGGUGAGCUCCCAAAGGUUUUGCAAAGAGCAGCUGUGGAAGAUUUGCUGCUUGCAUGUCUCCAGCAGGCAGGGCAGCUGUCCCAGCUGGCCCAGGAUGGGACAUAUCCUCCAAAGGAUGCUUGGUGCAGCCAAAGAUGCUGAAAGCCAAAGGGAAAAGAGUUCUUUUCCACAUAAACUUUCUUAGAGGAUCUAGCCAUGACUAUGAAUUGUCAAAUAAAUUAUUUUAAAAAUAAAGAA